rnacentral:tRNA from 31 species
GCGGAUGUGGCGAAAUUGGUAGACGCACCAGAUUUAGGUUCUGGCGCCGAGAGGUGUGAGAGUUCGAGUCUCUCCGUCCGCACCA